rnacentral:lncRNA from 1 species
AUGUGAGGUACCGGACUUCUAAAAUUAUGAGGUUACGGUGUACAUUUGGUUGGAAGACCAUUUGAAUGAUUUCGGUGAGGUCCCGGUGAGGUCCGGAAGCAUUCGGGCAUUUUCGGUACGCGUAGGCGCUAAAACGAAGCCGAAAGGCCAUGUUGGGCCGUGAGCCAAAUCCGACAUUAGCGGGGAUGAAAAGAUGAUGAAAAUACGCUCAAAAACAUGUUUGGAGAGUCUCGGUUCGAUUUGAAAAGAAUCGGAGGUCAAACGAGCGAAAACGAGUGAAAACGGAGAAGAAACGGUGAAAAAGCUGAAAAUUUGGCUAAGUCCUUAAAGGCUGGAAUUCU